UGGGGAAUCUUGCGCAAUGGACGAAAGUCUGACGCAGCGACGCCGCGUGGGUGACGAAGGCCUUCGGGUUGUAAAGCCCUGUGGGGAGAGACGAACCGGCUCGUGACUAAUAUCCACGGGUCUUGACGGUAUCUCCUUAGCAAGCAUCGGCUAACUCUGUGCCAGCAGCCGCGGUAAGACAGAGGAUGCAAACGUUGCUCGGAAUUACUGGGCGUAAAGCGCGCGCAGGCGGUCUUGUAAGUCAGGUGUGAAAUCCCGGGGCUCAACCUCGGAAGUGCACUUGAUACUGCUCGACUGGAGUACUGGAGAGGAGAGCGGAAUUCCCGGUGUAGAGGUGAAAUUCGUAGAUAUCGGGAGGAACACCAGUGGCGAAGGCGGCUCUCUGGACAGAUACUGACGCUGAGGCGCGAAAGCGUGGGAAGCAAACAGG
rnacentral:rRNA from 1 species